UUACACAAAAAUAAUGGCUUUAAAAUUAUCAUCGGUGAGCUGUGCUGCAGUACAGAAUUGAAGCAACACAGAGACGUUAAAGAAUAUAUCAAUAAUCAUUUUGUUUCAUCUUUCAUUUAAAAAACUCUCUAAGGGAGGAGCCCCACCUUGCCUAUCGCAAAGAAAAUUGGUAAGCUUCCAGGCGUUUUCGAUCACUAGCUUUUUCUGUAGUGGACCUCAAUACACUCUUCACCAACCUCACUUUUAGAGCCAGCCGGAGGUGGGUGUCACACUUUACAAAAUGGGUCCAGCUCUCCCGACUGAAACCACUUGUGGUUGUCGUUUGGCCCAAAGCCUAACCCUGAAACGCCAAACUGGUGGACCUGCCCCUGGUGGUGGGACAGCGCUGGGUCAACUCUCUUGGAAUGGCAUUACUGAUUCAGUUGUAAACUCCACUGUGUUAUCAGAAAUUUGUUGUGAAGGAAAGAUUGAUUAAUAGAAUGAAAAUGAUUCAUCCAAAUUCCUGAUAAAGUUGGUUUCGGAGGAUGAUUAUGAACUUACACUAGUUUAAUUGUCAA